UACGGGGGGUGCAAGCGUUAUUCGGAUUUAUUGGGCGUAAAGGGCGCGUAGGCGGCUUGGAAAGUCAGAUGUGAAAGCCCGGGGCUCAACCCCGGAAGUGCAUUUGAAACUAUCAGGCUUGAGUAUGGGAGAGGGAAGUGGAAUUCCUGGUGUAGAGGUGAAAUUCGUAGAUAUCAGGAGGAACACCGGUGGCGAAGGCGACUUCCUGGACCAAUACUGACGCUGAGGCGCGAAGGCGUGGGGAGCAAACAGGAUUAGAAACCCGGGUAGUCC
rnacentral:rRNA from 1 species